rnacentral:rRNA from 1 species
GAGUUUGAUCAUGGCUCAGAUUGAACGCUGGCGGCAGGCCUAACACAUGCAAGUCGAGCGGCAGCAGCUCCUUCGGGAGGCUGGCGAGCGGCGGACGGGUGAGUAACGCAUGGGAACUUACCCAGUAGUGGGGGAUAGCCCGGGGAAACCCGGAUUAAUACCGCAUACGCCCUGAGGGGGAAAGCGGGCUUAGGCUCGCGCUAUUGGAUGGGCCCAUGUCGGAUUAGUUAGUUGGUGGGGUAAUGGCCUACCAAGGCGACGAUCCGUAGCUGGUCUGAGAGGAUGAUCAGCCACACCGGGACUGAGACACGGCCCGGACUCCUACGGGAGGCAGCAGUGGGGAAUAUUGGACAAUGGGGGCAACCCUGAUCCAGCCAUGCCGCGUGUGUGAAGAAGGCCUUAGGGUUGUAAAGCACUUUCAGCAGGGAGGAAAAGCUGAUCGUUAAUACCGGUCAGUGUUGACGUUACCUGCAGAAGAAGCACCGGCUAACUCCGUGCCAGCAGCCGCGGUA